rnacentral:rRNA from 1 species
GGUCAAGCUACUAAGGGUGCACGGUGGAUGCCUUGGCGCAGAGAGGCGAUGAAGGACGUGGCAAGCUGCGAUAAGCUUCGGGGAGCCGCAAACAGGCUUUGAUCCGGAGAUUUCCGAAUGGGGAAACCCGGCAGGGGUAAUGCCCUGUCAUCCCGGAGUGAAUGCAUAGCUCCGUGGAAGCGAACGGGGGAAGUGAACCAUCUCAGUACCCCCAGGAAGAGAAAGCAAAAGCGAUUCCGCCAGUAGCGGCGAGCGACCGCG